rnacentral:rRNA from 1 species
CCUUCCCCUUCCCCUUCUUCUCUGCCCCCGCCGCCAACCAUCCCCCUCCUCCUCUGCCUUGCUUCAACAGCAACAACAACACGAAGAAAACCAAUUUCUUCUCCGCCGCCCCGAUCCAAUCCCUACCUCUCUCUGCUUGCUCCGCCACCAACCCUACGCCCAAGACGAUUUCUCCCCGCUUCCUUUCCAUGCGCCGGAGCUGGAGCCGGCCGACUAGACUACUCUCCCCGUAGAGGAUUCCCAUAGCCUCCUCCUAGCUUAGCGAGCUACCCCCGACCCGACCCUGCCCUCACCAACACCCCACCCCACCCAAGCUCCGAUUUUUAUUCUAUUCCCCUUCCCCCUCCCUCCCUCCAGAGUAGGUUGCUUCUCGCUCGGGUCAACCCGCUCCGGACCUCUCCCUCCCCGCCGGAUCUCGCCCACCGAUCCCUAGUCCACCGAGAAGAGCAGGGCAUGGUGGGGCAGACCAUGAUGCGCAUCGUGCGGCCCUGCUUCAAGCCCUCGCUGCCCGACGGCGCGCAGGUCGUCGCCGCCGGGGGCGGCGGCACCAGGGAGGGCCUGCUCUGGUACAGGGACGCCGGCCGCCACGCCUGCGGCGACUUCUCCAUGGCCGUCGUGCAGGCCAACCAGCUGCUCGAGGACGCCAGCCAGCUCGAGGCCGGGCCCCUCGUCGCCGCCGACGGGCCCUGCGCCACCUUCGUCGGCGUCUACGACGGCCACGGCGGGCCCGAGACCGCCCGCUUCGUCGCCGAUAACCUCUUCCACCACCUCAAGAAGUUUGCGACGGAACAACAGACAGUCUCGGCCGACGUGAUACGCCGAUCCUACGCUGCCACGGAGGAGGGCUUUCUGAACCUUGUGAGGAAGCAGUGGCUCAUCAAGCCGCAGAUCGCCUCGGUCGGUACAUGUUGUUUGGUUGGCAUUAUCAACGAAGGUGUUCUGUACAUAGCAAACGCCGGCGACUCCCGUGCUGUCCUCGGGAGAGUCGAGCGGGGCGCCAAAGACAUUAAGGCAGUUCAGCUCUCGUCCGAGCAUAACGCGAGCUUUCAGGAGGUAAGGGAUGAGCUAAGACAGAUGCACCCGGACGACCCCCGGAUCGUGGUCCUCAAGCACAAUGUUUGGCGCGUCAAGGGCAUUAUUCAGGUUUCCAGAACGAUCGGUGACGCCUACCUAAAAAGUUCGGAGUUUAACCGCGAGCCUCUUCUGGCCCGGUUCCGUAUUCCAGGGCCCUUCCAUAAACCGAUUCUUUGUCCGGAACCAUCCAUAGAAGAACACAGACUGUGCGCAGAAGAUCAGUUUGUUAUAUUUGCGUCAGAUGGACUAUGGGAGCACUUGAGCAAUCAGGAAGCUGUGGAUAUAGUUCAUUGUUCGCCUCGGAAUGGCAUUGCGAGACGACUAAUAAAAGCAGCUCUGCGGGAGGCGGCAAAGAAGAGAGAAAUGAGAUACUCAGACUUGAAGAAGAUCGACCGCGGGGUCAGGAGGCACUUCCACGAUGAUAUUACUGUUGUGGUAUUAUUCAUGGACCCUGCGCUUGUCAGCAGGAGGCUCUACGGUGGGCCGUUGCUUUCGCUAAGGGGUGGUGGCAGCACGCCAACGUUUGCACAGAAAUGCUGACCAUCCAUGACUGAUGCUUUCUGGAAAUAUCCUCCUAUAUAUCGUUCAUAUCUUGGGCUGGUGCUCUCCACACGACUUGCAGACACUGCGUAGAGCGGUGCGUGGAGGAGCCGUAUUGUUUUGACUUCUAAUAUGUACAGAUAGAGAGAGAGGCGUUGUUCGAUUCGAUCGCCGCGUCAUCGGUGUGAUGACAUGACCCUCUGUUGGCUCGCUCGCUCGGAGAAACCUAAGCUGGCAGCUGCAAUGCAUAAUUUGCAGGUAUCAGCUGGCGUUUCUCUUUUCGCGGGGUGGAUGGACCUCAACUUGAGCAGUACUUUAAGAAACAUGGGAUUGAGACAUUGCUGGAUGCUGUUGUUACAUCUCAUGGCUUCUACUUCAUUUUGCAGCUUCUUCGGCUUUCUGUCCCACAUUGUAUAACUGUUUAAGCUUUAUUAAGCUGGAUGCAGCUCUGUGAAGUGUGGAUGUUGGGGCAGAGUUGGAUUAGCAUUAGCCAUGGACUUUGUGAAGAGUAUAUGUCCAUUUUGCCAAGACAUGAAGGACUAAAAAUAUAUAAUCUACUUUAACUUGUUGAAUCAUCAGUAUUUGCUUCCAGUGUUUUUAAAUAGAAAUCCACAUACAUGGCUGUACACAUUAGAAAGGAAUCGUGAUUUUGAGUUGAAACGCGGUGUGACCUGCUCAAGUAGCGU